rnacentral:rRNA from 1 species
AACGAACGCUGGCGGCAUGCCUAACACAUGCAAGUCGAACGAACCCUUCGGGGUUAGUGGCGCACGGGUGCGUAACGCGUGGGAAUCUGCCCUUUGCUUCGGAAUAACUCAGGGACACUUGUGCUAAUACCGGAUGAUGUCUUCGGACCAAAGAUUUAUCGGCAAGGGAUGAGCCCGCGUAGGAUUAGGUAGUUGGUGGGGUAAAGGCCUACCAAGCCGACGAUCCUUAGCUGGUCUGAGAGGAUGAUCAGCCACACUGGGACUGAGACACGGCCCAGACUCCUACGGGAGGCAGCAGUGGGGAAUAUUGGACAAUGGGCGCAAGCCUGAUCCAGCAAUGCCGCGUGAGUGAUGAAGGCCCUCGGGUCGUAAAGCUCUUUUACCAGGGAUGAUAAUGACAGUACCUGGAGAAUAAGCUCCGGCUAACUCCGUG